AAUGGAGUAUAUGACAGAAUCGACUGACCGCAGCCCUGGACUCAUCCUGUGCUGUGAGUGUGGUAUUGCAAUAAGUCCCAAUCCUGCCAAUAUUUGUGUGGCCUGUUUGCAAAGUAAAGUGGGCAUCAGCCAAGAUAUUCCAAAACAAGUCUCACUUUUGUUCUACAAACAAUGUCAAAGGUAUUUUCAGCCACCAGGAACUUGGAUACGGUGUGCUUUAGAAUCCAGGGAACUUCUUGCUUUGUGUUCAAAGCCCCUCUGAGUAAGGAACGGCUUGUGAAUGCAGGCUUUGUUUGGACUGAGCCCCAUUCUAAGAGAUUUAAAGUUAAACUGACUCCAGAAAGAGGUGAUGAAUGGUGCUGUCCUUCAACAAGUGUUUGUGGUGGAUUAUGCUGUUCAGUCCCAAAUAUGUGGAGAUUGCCAUAGAGUAGAAGCUAAGGGUUUCUGGAGGGCUGUGAUUCAAGUGAGGCAAAAGACUUUGCACAAAAAAGCUUUCUACUAUCUGGAACAGUUAAUUCUGAAAUAUGGAAGGCAUCAGAAUACACUUCGUAUCAAAGAGAUUCAUGAUGGUCUGGAUUUUUAUUAUUCCUCAAAACCACAUGCUCAGAAGAUGGUCGAAUUUAUUCAGUAUACAGUUCCCUGUAGAUACAACGCAUCCCAAAGACUGAUCUCUCAGGAUGUCCAUAGUAAUACAUACAAUUACAAAAGCACUUUUUCUGUGGAAAUUGUUCCAAUAUGCCAGGAUUAUGUUGUCUGUCUGUCUCCAAAACUGACACAAAGCCUGGGAAAUAUGAACCAGAUUUGUGUGUGUAUUCGAAUAACCAGUGCCAUUCACCUCAUUGAUCCAAACACCCUACAAGUUGCAGAUAUUGAUGGCAGCACUUUCUGGAGUCACUCUUUCAGUAGUUUAUGUCACCCCAAACAGCUAGAGGAAUUUAUUGUGAUGAAAUGCAGCAUAGUCCGAAAUAUAAAACACGGUGCAGAUGCUGGAAUGAUAUCAAAAAAGCAUACCCUCAGGGAAGUCUGGGUACAGAAGACAUCUGAAAUGAAUACAGAUAAACAGUAUUUUUGUCAUACUCAUUUGGGACAUCUUCUAAAUCCUGGAGAGCUGGUGUUAGGGUUUGAUUUGGCCAGCUGCAAUUUAAAUGAUGAGCAUGGCAACAAAAUGAACUCAGAUAGAGUUCCAGAUGUGGUAUUAAUCAAGAAGAACUAAGACUGGACCAAACAUCAGUGAUGUAGAAACUGGAAACUGAAAGAGCUUGCAGGAGAGAGAACAUGGAUACAGAUGAUGAAAGGCAAUACCAAGAUUUUCUUGAAGAUCUUGAAGAAGAUGAGGCAAUUAGAAAAAAUGUCAACAUUUACAGAGAGUCAACCAUCCCUGUGGAAAGUGAUGAUGAUGAAGGAGCACCUGGAAUUAGUCUGGCUGAGAUGCCUGAAGACUUUCAUAUUUCCCACGAUGCCACUGGUGAAGAAGGUGCGUCAAUGAUG
rnacentral:lncRNA from 1 species